rnacentral:rRNA from 1 species
GGGGAAUAUUGCACAAUGGGCGCAAGCCUGAUGCAGCAACGCCGCGUGAGGGAUGAAGGCCUUCGGGUUGUAAACCUCUUUUAGUAGGGAAGAAGCGAAAGUGACGGUACCUGCAGAAAAAGCGCCGGCUAACUACGUGCCAGCAGCCGCGGUAAUACGUAGGGUGCAAGCGUUGUCCGGAAUUAUUGGGCGUAAAGAGCUCGUAGGCGGCUUGUCGCGUCUGCUGUGAAAUCCCGGGGCUCAACCCCGGGCCUGCAGUGGGUACGGGCAAGCUAGAGUGCGGUAGGGGAGAUUGGAAUUCCUGGUGUAGCGGUGGAAUGCGCAGAUAUCAGGAGGAACACCGAUGGCGAAGGCAGAUCUCUGGGCCGCUACUGACGCUGAGGAGCGAAAGCAUGGGGAGCGAAC